AUCCUUUUGUAGUUCAUAAACAUGAUGAUUAGAUUUUCAUGCUUAUGUGUGAGGUGUGCCUACCUCAAACUCUGUUAUGACAUCAGCACAUUGUGUGUGUGACA